UGCCACACUGUAAGAUUUUGAUUCCUAUUUUCAAGAACAAAGUUACCAGUAUCAAGCAUGGCAGCAUGAGUGACCGCGGUUACAGAGUUCUGAGGUCUCCAUAUCUCUUUGCCUUGUGGAUCACUUAGUAUGAACUGGCCAUCAGAGGUAAGUUCAAGUUUGGAUCCUUUAGGAGCCGGGUUAUCUCCAUUUGCAUACCAAACUAAGGUUUUUUCCGGUAUGUUUUCGAACCAGAUAGCAAGCAAGAAGAGACUUUGACUGCCAAGGCGGUAAAACCCAAAGGCAAAUUCACCAGAAGGUGAUACACAUCUAGGCGAGUCCUGGGAGGCUGUAAUGUCAAGAUCAGUGCAAUAUUGAGACAACACUAAAGAUGGAAGGACAAGAAGAAGAAAGAACCUGGCAGCCAUUGCAGAAGAGCCUUGGUACUACCCUUCACACCGGAGAAAGUUUGUAGAACAUAUAAAAGUAUUCACAUGGGAUUGUGAGACUGGAAAAAAUAGCAUGCACAAGGUCAAUGCGGUCGGAUUGGGUGAGCGGUGGAAUCAAUUUCGUGAGUGAAACAUCUUCCUAAUUCACUUUAAAGGUCAUUGCUGACACGUUUUCCAAGCUUUGAAUCUUUGAAAAACUAGUUAUGGCCAACCACAUAUGUGUGGCUUAUCUUCUUCCACUUCAUAGGGUAUAGGAUAUGGCUUACCCCCACAUGCAUUAGGUAUUUAGUGUGCAUCUUCCAAUAGUACAUCAUUGGAAAGCGACUAAUUCAUUGUCUAAUAUGCACAUCCAUUUUUAGGGCCUAGGUCCUCAUUUGUGGUUGAAACGAUCUAUUCUCAAUCAGCCAAGACUUUUGCAUGCUUACAAAUUUGAUUUCACUUAUUCAAGGUAUGAAAGGGAUUUUAUCGGUCAAUUCUUACAUUGCAGAAUUGUUGAAAUUGUCUUAUUACAGCCACCAAGAAGCUAAAUUAUGUGUCUAAUCUCAUGGUUAUAGUCCGGGGUUCUACUAACUUGUGAACUGGUAUCUAUUGAUUCUAAUUGUCCGUUACCAUUUUCUAAGACUUUUGAUACAAGUUGGAUGAGCUCAAUUGCACCUCAAUCAGCCUCUGUUAAGAUUCCACAGUUAUAUAGUUGGUUUGAAUUUUUCUAAAAAUGGUUUUAAGAAAAUUACCUAUCAAACGUUUCUCCAAAAAAUAUUAUAAGUAAUUUUUCAAUAUUAAAAGUGAUUUUUCAUAUUUUUAACAAUAUUUCGUAAAUUUUGUCAAAUGUUUUUUUUUUUCAUAAAUACUUUAAAAAUAGAAAUAUUUCUUAAAAUUAUUGUCAAAUAUUAAAACUAUCAAAACAUAUGAUUUGAAAAUCAUAAUAAAUAUUAUGUGAAUAAUUCAAGUGGUCAUCUAUUUUCUUUUUUGUUCUUUUAUUUUUUGUAACCCGGAGUGUUGGGUUAAAGUUGAUAUGAACACCAAAGGCCUCAUUUUUGGAAUUUAAUUAACACAAAAUUCUUUUUCAAGUUGAUAAUUAUAUAAAUAAUCUUAUGGAGUCCAUUAUUGAAUUUUAUUGAGAGUGUGUGGCCAAAAGCCAAAAGGAUGAUGUCUACCGUUCUUUCUUUUCCAUUUUCAUUUAUUGAAAUUUUAUUCCCCCGAUGAACUUGACAACCAUCUUAAAAUAAUUAUUGGAAGCUAUUAACUUUAAAUAAUAAGGAUCAUGUUCAAUAAUUAACAUUUUUUUGAAAAAAAAAGUAAUCAUUGACUUAGAGCUCGAAUGACAGUGACGGUAAAAAACGUUUUUAACCUAAAAAGUUUUUUUGAAAGAAAAAAAAAAAUAGGUAUUAGUAAAAUUUAAUAAACGCUUUUUAAAAAUUUGAAAAAUCAUUGAUAGUAUUAAAAAAUCACUUAUAGUGUUUUUAGAGAAAUGUUUUAUAGAUGAUUUUCUUAAAAACACUUUAUGAGAAAAUACUUUCAGAGAAAAUAUUUUCAUUAAAAAUACUUUAAAUAAAAAUAUUAUCAAAUGUACUCUUAAAUAUUUUAUUAUGAAAUUUAUUAUUCUAAUUAAUUUUAUAUAUAAUGACAUGAACAAAAAAUAUCAUAUCAUGAAAAAUUUGUGUUUUCUUUAGUAGUGAUAUUAUUUUUUGGAGAAUAAUAUUUGAAGGUGUGGAAAAAAGAUUGGUGAAAAAGCGAAAAAUCCUUUUAAUCUUACAUCCUAGUUGUGUUCAAAUAUAAGAGUUGGGAUCACCAAAUUCAUUAAUAUUCAAGAAGAAGUAAGAAUGAAAAUUAAAUAUUCAUCUUCAUUCCUAAUUUUUACAUAGCAAAUAUGGCCUUCUAAUGUUACAUUGAACAGUGAGAUGUUUCUUGCACCAUUAAAAAAAUCAGCCUUGGAAAACAGACGUCAAAUUUCUUGCACCUGACAUUGACAUGGACUCAAACUAUCUAAAACUAACCUAAAUUCAUGGAGAUGAAUGGCCAAUCAAGUGAAGCACUUGCCUGCGUGAUGUCUGGUCAGUCAUCUUGAAAUGAGAAUUAUAUAGUCAGAUAAAUAAUAAAACACAUAACCUAAUAUUCUAUUCAUUGAUUCGCUCAUUCACUAAUCAUUAGAAAGUCGGGAAAUAUAGAAGAGCAAAUUUUCUAAUUCAAGGAGAUGCUGAAGAGGCUCAGAAUCAUAAUUUCUAUACAAAAUCAGGAAGUUCAAUGAGGGAAUUGCACUCAACCCUUUAAGAUAAGAAUAUGGAAAUGGAAAACAAAGCUUCAAAAAGUCUUAGGUUAUGUUUGGUUUCUGAAAAAUAUUAAGGAAAGAAAAAAAAUACAAAUGAAAAUGAAUUUUUCAUAUUUGGUUGUCCUAUGAAAAAUAUAAAAGAAAAUCAAAUAUAAUUAAAACUAAUUAAAAAUAUAUGUAUUUUUAAAUUUUUUAAUCUUUAUAUUGAUGAGUUAAAAUAAAUAAAAUGAGUUUGAAGUAAUAAAAAAAAUAAUUUAUCGAUUUUUAAUCUAUUUUUUAUUUUCCCUCACUUUUUCUUUCCUUCUACUUUUCCUUUGUAUUUUCUUUCCCUUGCAUUUUCCCUCAAAUUUUCUGGGAACCAAACAUAGCCUUAAAGUCUAGAUCAAUUUAAUUACAAUAUUCUUCUUCGGAGUUUCACAGUACAAACCUUCAUUAAGACUUGGGACUCUUUAAUUUUCUUUUCAAAGAAAGAGAUGACUUGGAUAAACAAUGAGAACCAAUGCCCAUGGUCACUUACAGAAGUUUAUGCAUGACGAUGACAAUUCUACUAAUGAGAAGCAAGCACAAGAAGACUGCCACCUCCAAGGUCCAUGCCAAUGACCUCAAUGAUCAUCCGCAGGGCAACAAAAAAAUAAACAGAAAUUCCAAAAUAAGAACAAGACCACGUCAAAAUUGUGACAAAAACAAAUUCAGCAACUACCUGACAAAGAUUUGUCUUUCUACUUGCCUUUUGUUAUAAGGACUCCCGAAAAACUUAGGCUGCUAAACCAAAAGUGUGUUUAAACAAAUAAAAAUUUGACCAAUUCAGUACCAUAAAAUACUUAUAUAAAAUUGUUGGUUUAGGAAUGGCAACUUUCUAAAUGAUCCUAGAUCUAAAUAUACAUUGGCAUAAAAUUGCAGUUGUUUACCUCACAUGUUUUUUUAUUGUCAUAAUAGAACUUUGUUCCUUAGAAGAAGGCUUCUAUGCUUAUCCUGGUUACUUAACAUGGAACAUGUGCAAAUAGAGUUUGUUGCCUGCCCAAAUCUUCCACAACCGGACCAGCCAAUGACUUGUGUGCAUGUACAGUUCUUCAAGAGUGUUGAGCAGAUUAAAAGCCUUUGAAUGCAAAAAGGAGGUCAAGACAUUAACAAUGUAGAAUAUUUAAGUAAUUCUGGUAUCAAACAUAAUAAAAUUGAUUAAACAAAACCUUGAACAAUGAGGUAUUUUCUUCCAAAAAAGAUGAGCUCCACCAUUGUGUGGGCUAUUGAGAAUAUGAAAAAUAAGACAUUAGAAUGAUAAGCAAUUAAAAUUACCUACUAAUGAGCAGCAAACUAGAAUGUUGAAUUUUGACUUAGUAUUUGCUGGAAUUUGAAUUUUGAAUAUUGCAGCUGGAGUCUUGCACAAAAUCUGCAACAUCUAGAUAUUUUCUUAUUUUUAUUUGGUCAAGAUUUGGUUUCUAUUUUAUAGGAAGUAGUUAUUCAUCAUCUAGUAGCUUGAUUUUCUGCUAUUCUAAUGUCAUUUAAGUUACAAGUUCAUGUAUAAAUUCAGCACUCUUCAUCAAUAAAAUCAGAGUUCCAGCAGCCCAAAAAUAUAUUUUUUGUAUAAGUAUUUAAUCUUAUACCAACAAAGUGGUAUCAGAGCCAUAGUUAUCUUGAGGGGCCAGUGAGGUGAGAACCCAAACACCUUCUAAAAUCAUAUAGCAAUGGAAGAGUCAAGUCUCACAGUUGCACCAUCAAUUCUUGAUGGAGACAAUUAUGAAACUUGGGCUGUUAGAAUGACAGUUCAUCUACAAGCACUUGAUGUUUGGGAAGCAGUUGAAGAAAAUUAUGAAGUUCCUCCCCUGGGAGCCAAUCCAACUGUGGCUCAAAUGAAGUUGCAUAAAGAAAGAAGGACAAGAAAGGCUAAAGCGAAAGCUUGCUUGUUUGCUGCAGUUUCACCAUCAAUUUUCAUCAAAAUCAUGAAAAUUGAUUCAGCUGUAGAAAUUUGGGAGUAUCUCAAGGAGGAAUACAAAGGAAAUGAAAGAAUCAAGAACAUGCAGGUGAUGAACUUGAUUCGAGAAUUUGAAAUGAAGAAAAUGAGGGAGUCUGAUGCUGUUAAAGACUAUGCUGCACAACUUCUUUCAAUAGCAGACAAAGUUAGGCUGCUUGGAAAAGAAUUUUCCAAUGAGAAGAUUGUUCAAAAGAUAUUGGUUACACUUCCUGAGAAAUAUGAAGCUACAAUUUCCUCUUUGGAGAAUUCAAAAGAUCUGUCAACUAUUAGCUUGACAGAAUUAUUACAUUCCUUGGAGGCUGUGGAACAAAGAAGACUCAUGAGACAAGGAGAUACUACAGAAGGAGCAUUUCAAGCAAGAAUGCAGAAAAAUGCAGGCCAUAAAAAUGGAAAGAUGAACAACAACAAGCCAUGCAGCAACAACCAGAAAAAUGGAGUUUUUCCACCUUGUCCUCAUUGCAAGAAGACAAAUCAUUCUCCACAAAAAUGUUGGUGGAGACCAGAUGUGAAAUGCAACAAGUGUGGUAAACAAGGACAUGUGGAGAGGAUUUGCAAAAAUCAACAACAGGAAGAAACUAGUGCAGCAGUUGACUAUUGCCAGGAGGAGCAAUUGUUUGCAGCAACGUGUUUUGCUAAUAAAAGCACCUCUGAAAGCUGGCUUGUGGAUAGUGGUUGUACAAAUCACAUGACAAAUAAUCAAGAUCUCUUUAGAGAACUUGAUAGAACAACUAUUUCCAAAGUCAGAAUUGGAAAUGGUGAGUAUAUUCCAGUGAAGGGCAAAGGAACGGUUGCUAUCGAAAGCCAAACAGGUUUGAAACUCAUUUAUGAUGUUUUGUUUGUGCCUGACAUUGACCAAAACUUACUCAGUGUUGGACAGCUCGUUGAGAAAGAAUUUAAAGUUUAUUUUGAAGAUAGGAAUUGCAUUAUCAAGGAUGCUGAAGGCAAAGAGGUGUUCAACAUAAAAAUGAAGGGCAAAAGUUUUGCCUUGAAUUUACUGGAAGAUGAGCAUACUGCUAUUUUACAACAAGAUAGCACAACAAUGUUUUGGGACAGAAGGGUCGAGCACUUUCAUCAUGAUGAUGUGCUCUACAUGAAGAAAAAUCAAAUAGUUGAAGGACUUCCUGACUUAGAAAAAGAUCUUCCUAUAUGUGCUACUUGUCAAUAUGGGAAGCAAACUAAACUUCCCUUUCCAAAGAAAAUAUCCUGGAGAGCAACCCAAAAACUGCAACUGGUGCAUACUGAUGUUGGUGGAUCUCAAAAAAUGCCAUCCUUGAAAUGGAAUGCAAACAAUGUUUGGUGGAUCUCAAAAAAUGUCAUCCUUGAAAUGGAAUGCAAACAAUUUUGGGCUAAAACUGCAAGUAGAGCAGUAUAUUUUCUGAACAUAUUGCCAACAAAAGUGUUAAAGAAGCAGACCCCUUUCGAAGUUUGGUUUGAGUGUCUACGUGCAAGACUUGGAGUUUGCAUCUACGAAGUCAAGGAGGAGUGUUGAAUUUUGACUUAGUAUUUGCUGGAAUUUGAAUUUUGAAUAUUGCAGCUGGAGUCUUGCACAAAAUCUGCAACAUCUAGAUAUUUUCUUAUUUUUAUUUGGUCAAGAUUUGGUUUCUAUUUUAUAGGAAGUAGUUAUUCAUCAUCUAGUAGCUUGAUUUUCUGCUAUUCUAAUGUCAUUUAAGUUACAAGUUCAUGUAUAAAUUCAGCACUCUUCAUCAAUAAAAUCAGAGUUCCAGCAGCCCAAAAAUAUAUUUUUUGUAUAAGUAUUUAAUCUUAUACCAACAUAGAAUACAUCCAUGGUUUCCUCCAUGCCUGUAUAAGAGAAAUGACAAAGAAAGUGAGGAAGAACCAAAGCAUCCAUGUUUUUCCAGUCAUUAAGCGGUUCACUUGGGUUAUGCAUAUGGCCAAAUAAAAAACAGGGCAUGAAUAUGUGAGUGCCGUUAGAAUAUGAGAAUUGUCUGUGUCAAAAUGCGAGCACCUAGGUUGAAUCCUCAUCUACAGCUAUUCAAAAUUCGUCUCAGGCUUGAAGCUUCAAGAAGAAGAAAAUCUUAAAUCAAAUAAAUGGAGCCAAGGAAUUAUGUAGAUAUAUUCUUGAGAUUAGAAAUUGGAACAUAACUUUUCUAAAGAACUAAGUUUAAGCACAGAACAAUUACCUGCCGAUAUGUUGGUGCAGUGCCACUUUCAUUAAAAUAGCACAUCAUUGAUCUCUAUUUUUGGAAUGUGAGAUAUAUAACGCCAUUCUUGCCCUUUCUCAAAUUGGUGCCGUUGUUCUAGUGAAGGACAUUUGUAGACAUACAGAUAAGAGAGAGGGAGUCUGGCAGUGUCAACUACUGGAGCUUAGGGCAGUUGGCGAUAUACAAGGUUUCAAGAGUGGUAAGGUGGUGAAGACCUGCUUCUGUUAAGGAUUGGAGCCUUGGGCACAAGUAUAAUAUUUUGAGAGAAAUAUGGUGUUGACGAACGGACCCCUAUGGAGAACUGGAGCUCAGUGCAAUUCCUGAUCUCUAAUUGUAGAAGAGAGGUGAGUCGUUGAAGCCCCCUGCUGUAAAGAGACUUGAGAUUUGGAAGAUCUGAGAUUGAAAUAUAAGUCAGAGAAGAGGGCAGCAGGCACUCCUUGGGAAAUAAUUCCACGUCUUCACAUCCACCUUUGAUUGUUAAUUUAGUAAGAGAGGUCAAUCUUUGCAAAUCCCAAUCCACCUGGGAUGUGAGUUGGUUGCAGCGACAAACUUCUAGUUCACGUAGGUUGGAAGGCAAACCUUCUCUGUGAAACAAAAAUUCUGAGCAAUCCCUUAAAAUCAGUUUCCGCAGAGAUGAGUGUGUGUGGACCAGCAAUCUGAGCUUGGAGCAACUGGAAAUCUCGUGGUCCAUUGAGUCCAGAGCAGGCAGUUGGAUAUAUACAAGAUUAUGGCACCCUCUGAUUUCCAAAUUAAGAAGAGAUAUGGGAUCGCCCUCUGAAAUCGAAAUGCAGAGCUUCUCAAGUCCCUAAGACCAUGGAUUGCGAAAUUAGUCAACCUGGGGGAGAUGUCCAAUAUUGAGAAGGAUAAUGGGGGAGAAUUAUUGUAGGUACCACCAUUGAUUGAUAGAUUUUCAAGUACAGGGUGAUGGCAUCUGAACAACUCUGGUAGAAUAAGGUCCACUUUGGUACAGUAAGAGAUUGAUAGUGAUUGCAACAUAGUGGGUAAACCAACUUUGCUCGGGGAUCUGAAAAAGAGCAGUCACAAAUUUUUAAACUGUGGAUGUUGGUUUGCAGGAUUUCCUCCUCUAGCAGAGACUCCAUAGAAUCACACUUUGUGGAUGUUGCUUCCAUUGAGAGACGUCUGAAAUUUCAAUUUCUGAAGUUUGAAGAGCUGUGAACCCACAAGUUUGCCUUUUCAACUGCAAUCUACGGGCAGCAGGAACAUUGAGUGUAGGCACAAGCAGUUGCGGACAUAUUUCAAGGUUAAGUUCCUGCAAUGAAGGAAGGUGUAUUGGUAAUUCCCCAAUGAGUAUAGGACAUUGCCUUAUAGAAAGCUCCUGGAGACGAGGGAAUUCUCCACGUAUGCCUCCACGACAUAACCAUUUCUCCCAAUUGGACAUUACAAAAUGAUAUAGUUUACAGGGAUGGGAAGGAGGGCUGAAGUGAAAAAGAGGAGUUCCCAUAAAACUCACCACCCACCCUGACUACUCCUUUCAUGUCUGAGAUCUCUAGAAGUUUAAGACAAGGUAGCUGCCCCAGUGGCGGCAAUGUUGAGCAAUUGCCACAACCCCAAAGCUUAAGGGACCCAAGAUUCAAGAAUGAAGGAUCUCCAAGCCAAUAUGGAAAUGUUACACCAGGAUACUUUAUGAUGGAGAGUUAUUUUAAAUUUGGAUGAGGUUGUAACCAGCUAAGAAUAUUGUCUAUUACACCAUUAAUUUGUAUAACAUCACUAAUAAUCAUGUCCUUCCAAUUCAGGGAUAACUCAUCCAGGUAUCUCUUAUCCUUCAUAUGUCCUUGCAAUGCAUCCUCAACGCGCACUACAUUCUCCAUUUUUGAAGUUUUAAGUAUUCCCUGAAUCUCCGGAAACUCUCUCAAUCCAUCCUCCAAUUCCAUAUCCACUUUUUUGGCCCACAAUAACAUAAGGCAACUGUUGUAAACUUUUUAAUUGAUCUAAUCAAUUUCCCCAUUUUUGAAGGCAAUUCAAGAAGAAUGUGACAUCUACUCAAUAUCAUCGAUCGUAUGUAAAUUGUACAAAUAACAUAUUGAUUUAGGUAAUUUUUCAAUCAUCAUAAAAGAGAGAUCCAAGUAACACUACUGUUUUAAAUUGUGUAUUGAAUCAAGCACAUCUGUUAUGUUGUAUGCACACAAUGAUAACACACGCAAGGAUUUAAAUUUUGGUAAUAUAUUUUGUAAAACUCUUUUACUCCAUGUAUAAUAAGGAAUACGUGUAAAUCUCUUCACGUCUAAGAAUGUCCAGAGAUGUUUAGCUUCACCAAUAGCCUCAAACUUAUCACGUACAACCAUCCAGUCGUAGCCACUUUAAAAGUAAAGAAAAUGACGAGCCUUAUCAGUUAUUUUUUGCACCUUAUAAUCUUCCAAUUGAACACAAAAUUCGCUGGAGAUAUGUUGAGACAAGUCAUGUAUUAUAUCAUGCAUUACAAAGCAUGAUUUUAUGGUAAAUGAUUCCUUUGUAAUAGAUUGUUGAAAAAAUGACUUUGCUAGAAGCUCAUUAAAACAUGACUCACCUACCUCUUCCAGUCUUUCUUCACUUUGUCCCGCAUGUAAAAGCCCUUCUGCCAUCCAUAAUAGAAUCAGCUUCUCUUUUUCUUGUUACCUACUCUCUCUUUGAGUUUAAGCUGAAACAAAUUUAGGGUGUCAUCAGAUUUAGUUUCAGAACUGAUUUCCUUGAGAAUUGAUUUUGUUACCUCCUCGAUGAGAAAAAUCUCAGUGGAAACACAGACCCAUGCUUUCAAGUGGAAGUGUUGUUUGACCGUGUCAUGGUUAUAGAGAAGCUGAGCGAGUGUGGUCUUGCCGCUGCCGCCCAUGCCCACCAUGGACAUCACAUCUAUGACGUUGUUGCCUGUUGCAUUUUCCUUUUCAGAAAGCAACCACUUCACCAUCUCCUCCUUGAUUCCAUCCCUGCCCACCACAGAGGACUCAUCCACCAAAGAAGUGGUUGGUGGUCUUGGUGACAGUUUAUCGCCUUCACCUUCUUUCAGCCAAAGCUCAACUUUUUCUUGUGCAAUGUUUUCAAGUACGGUAAUCAAGCCCUUGACCCUGGGCUCCAUUCUUUGAGUAGCAAAUGGAGCCUUAACCCUGGUGGAGAACUUGUUCCACACCUGAUAAAUUCCGCCAGUUUGGGGGUGUUCAGCAGCUUCGAUCUGGCACCGCAAAGUUUUGGUAGCGAUCUCGUCCAACAGGUCCUCCGCAUGAUACACAGCAUCCUUAACUUGGACUAGCCAGUCUUUGACAAGUGGAUCUGAAAAUUGCUUCAUCUCCGCAUCAUUGAGCGCUUUGUGGACAACCAGCAAUUUCCUCUUAAAGUUGGUGAGGAGUUCAUGGCUGAGCUUUUGUGCCCGGAUGAAGUUGAUGAGGUCCGGAGAAGCCAACCUGUCGAGUAGAACUUGAAGUGAAGCCAAGAGGAGUGCGUCCGCCAUUGCAAAAGGAAUUCAGCGAGAUUCAAUACAGGAAAAAUGAAGGUAAGCAGAAUUAAUGCAGAAUCACAGCAACAAACUGCAAAGCAAAGACUGGUCUCUAUUGCCAAAAUGCAUGAGGCUUGAAGGAAUCAUUGAUGGUGGUGGACCAAAUGCUGACUUUUUUGCCAAAACCAAUAAUUGAGAGGUGAGUAAAAGAAAGCAAAGGAAAAAGGCUGAUGACAGACUCUGUUGAGUAACGUGGGUGGAGCUUUCCAAAAAUGGAAAGCAAAAGCCACCGGGUUGUUCUUUGGUACCCAUCAUUUAUUUUGGGUUGCCAACCCACAUUUGAACCACUAAUAAAUGCAAGUGUAAAGUGUAAUAUUAUAAUUUAUUAUUAAAUAUCAAAUAUAAUUUGUUAUUUAAUUAAUUAAGCACCUAACAAUUAUCUAAAAUAAGAAAAUUUUAUCAACUACUCUUGUACUCUUGGUAUGCAAAUAUAGAAAAAGAAAUAUUAAUUUAAUAUGAAAAUUAAAUAGCUUCAACCAACGUAUUUGUGAUAAAUCAAAUUUAAAGAUUAAGUAUAAGAUUUCUUAAGGAAGAAAAACAAAAAUUUGUAUUUCAUAAAGGAAAUAAAAUAUUUCAAGUGAUUACAUUUAUUAAAGGUAAUAUUUGAUAUUUUUUUAUUUAAAUAUAAAUUUUGCCAGUAAAAAUGUAGCAUUUUAAUAUGUAAUGAUUUACAAGAUUUAGGUUUUAGAACUUUUUUUUUUAUGAGUUUAUUAUUAAUCAAAUUGAAAUAAUUUAGUCCUUUGUUAUCAAAUUGUUUUCAAUAUGUGAGAAAAGUUACAAACAACGUAAGAGAAAGUAUGAAUAAUAUAAGAGAAGGUAUGAAUAAUGCAAGAAAUUGUACGAAUAAUGUAAGAUAGGGUAUGAUGGAUGGUAUGAACAAUGCAAAAAAUGAUACAAGUAAUGUAAAACAAGGUAUGAACAAUAUGAGAAAUGGUAUGAAUAAGAAGCCUCUUCUCAUUAUUAUUGUUGAAGACAAAGCAAUGUGUAAAUAGAAAUUGAUGAAUAUAUUGCAAAUGUGGUGGGUAAGGAGCACUGAGUAGACCAUACUGCUUUAAAUUUCAUCACAAAAGUGUUGGGUUUGCAUACAAAUAAAUUUAUGAUCUAAAAUAUAAACAUAAAAUAGUUAACAACAUUAAUUAUGUAAUAAAAUUAAUACGAAGUUGGUUUAUCCUUAUAUUCAUUUCUACAUUUAGUAAUUCUUGUCUAAGUCCUAAAGUCAUGAAGUCUUCUCGAUUUGCAUGCUUAUAUUGAACAUUAACAAGAACUACAAAAUAUAAGUAUUUAAUAAGCAUCACUUUUAAAACAUGACGUGGAUAAAGUAUAUCCAAAAUAAUUAGUUUAUACAUUUUUGGCCCAAUGAAACAUCAAAUGAAUGUGGAUCCUCCACAUUUAACAAAAUGCACAUGAUAUUAGUCAUUCAAUAAAGGAAUUCUUAAAAAAAAAAUUAAAAAUUAAAAAUUAAAAAUUAAAAAUUAAAAAUUAAAAAUUAAAAAUAAAUAAAUAAAAAGGCUAAAAGAUGGUCAAACCCGUAGAUAAAGAGAGAGUUGUCCUUGAUUUUAUCCUAUAUUCUGUCCUACAUAUUGUUUGGAUGCCAACUAAAAAAAUGAAGAAAAAACAGAUAAUUUAAUGAAAAGUUAUUAAAUAAUUUAAGAAGGAAAAAGAAAAUAAAGGAGAGUUAAAAAAAACAUGAAUAGUUUAAUGGAUUUCAAAUUUUAUUUUAUUUUAUUUUUCCAUUUUUACACAUCUCUUUGUAAUAUAUUCAAUAUUCUAUAUGAUAUUUAUAAAGAAGAUAAUCAAAUAUCAUUGAAACAUGGGUACCUUUUUUCAACAAAUGCAUCACUAAUUACAUAUAUUUUAAUGAAAAUAUUGACAAUGUUUCGAUAUUUUCACUAUUUUCCAAAAUCAUAAUAAACAAAUAUAGUUGUACACAGAAAUUUCAUAAAUUUUAUCCUGCGAAAUUAGCAAAAUAAAAUAGGAAAAAUAGUGUGAACAAAUGAUUUAUUAAAUUCAAGAAUAUCGCAGGUACAAUUUCAAAAUAAUAAUAAUAAUAUUUUUUCUAACAAAGAAUAUUUUCCCUUUAAUUCUUUUGCCUUGAUUGCACUUUGGAAGACAACGAUGACGUUUUCUUGAUUUCAAAGAUCAAUCGAGGGCCACAAGUGGCUUAUUCCCGAAUGACCUUGUUGAAUGACAAAGAACGAGUGUAUUAGUUCUUUUGUCGCUUACCGAACUUAUAGGGAGUUUUUAUUUGAUUUCUGAAUUUUCUUCCCUCUCCUCUCCUUGAUGGAAGACAUCUUUAUUUAUAGGUGAAGAUAGGGAAUUUGAAUUUCAAAAUCCCCAAUUUUAGUUGCUUAAUUCAAGGGAUUUAGUUCCUUAAUUUUAGCAAAUUUUCUUUUCCGGGAGGUUUUACCAACAAGAUAAUAAGACUUAUCCUUUUUUUUAGAAGACCAAAUUAAUGGUAAUUUAUUUAUGUCUACAAUAGUUUAAAAAUUUUCUUAUAUAUAGAACUCCACCCUAUUCUUGUCUACUUUCCCUUCAUCCGACGGUUCAUCUGUGUAUGAAAAAUUUGUUUUUUAAAAUCUAUUGGAAGUGUCUCAACUUUUUAAUUGGAAUAUAUAAUUUUUUUUAAUAAAAAAUUAUUAUAUAAAUAUUUUCUAAAUUCAUAUAGUAUUGUAAUUAGAUUUUUUAUAGAAUAAAGAAAGGGAAUAGAUUACCUAGUGAGAUCUACAUACAAUUUAAUAAUUAAUUAGUUAACUAAUAUUAGAUUAACUCGGACUCAAAUUAUUUGGCCAGCAGAGUCAUGGGAGCCUUAAAAGAGAAGCUAAGAGCAAAGGGGAUGCAUACAACAAAACCAAAACUAUGGUAUUCCCUUCAAGGAUCUCAUGUCCACUAUCAUUACUCUAAAAAGCAUUGAAAUUUUGGAGAUCAGGAGAGGAUUCAAGCAAUUGGCAAAGCAGUUUCCCAUAUGAAGUUGGUAAUUAUGAGCAAGAGAAAUUUUCCAAUGGAAGAAGAAUUGGACUGGAAGUAAGUAUUUGAAGUAACAUCAUGGCAAAGUUGUUGGUAAUUGGUAACUGUGGGGCUGAGUGAAACAUUAGAUUAAAUUCUGACCUCUUAUUUCGUCUACAAGAAACCUUGAGCUAACUAGUAGAUGGGUUUAAUUGCAUGGUCCAAACUAAGAUUAAAAUAAGAAUGCAAGCUCCGUGUCCACAAUACGCUUUCUAACUGCCGAUAUACGAAACCAUCAGGUGGUUUUCUAUGUUUUGAAUCUUCCAAAACCUUGAAAGACUUUUGGUGAAGUUGCCAAAAGUUCUAUAUAGAUAGAGUUCACAGCUGGUUUUGAAUUUUCUAAACACCUAGAAAAUACACUUUUUGCAGAAAGUGCUUGCCAAUUUUCCAAUACCUGUAAAGGUGAGAAUAUGAUGUUUACCUGCCACCUUGAAAUUUAUAACCAUAGUGUAGCAACCUUGUUUGUACUAUUAGAACAAGAAAAUGCAACCAUACUAACAAAGAAAACACUAUUAGAACAAACAUGGAUAUUCAACUGAAGUUCAUGAUAUAUGGAACUUCCAGGAUUGCAAAGACGAGUAGGUGCGUAUAUACUGUCUUAGGGAUGUGUAGUUUCAGAAGGUUGAACUAAAGGGGAAAGGACUACGGGGCACAGCAACUUCAACAACUCCUUGAAGCAUCAAUAUGACCAUUCCCAUGGAGGGCCUCAAAGAAGGGUCCUCUUGAAUGCACCAAAUGGCAACCAUCACUACCCUCUCUAGCAUCCCCAUGUCUUUUCCUGCUUCAUCAUCAUUCUUCACUAGCUUAUCCAAUCUGUGCCCUCUAUAGCAAUCAUAAGCCCAGUCAGCAAGUAUUGCUUCCUCCUCAUUUUCCGGCUGUGAAUGUACGCUCUUCCUGCAACUGAUGAUCUCCAGUAACAUAACCCCAUAACUAUAAACAUCCACUUUCGCCGUAAUCGGCUUGCUCCUGAACCAUUCUGGUGCAACGUAUCCUUUGGUCCCUCUGAUUGUUGUAAGGGUCCGAGUAUGAUCUCUCAUCAGAAGCUUCGCUAGUCCGAAGUCUGAAAUCCUAGGUGUAAGGUACUCGUCAAGGAGGAUGUUUUCAGGCUUUAUAUCACAAUGGAUGAUGGGGGUGCUGCACUCUUCGUGUAAAUACAUUAGCCCUUUUGCAAUCCCAAAGGCUAUCUGGAGUCUCUGGCUCCAUUCAGGUGUAGAUAUUCCAAACAAGAAGUCUGCUAAAGAUCCAUUGUUCAUGUGCUCGUAUACCAGAAGCCGGUGCACACCCUGAUCACAGUAUCCAAGCAAACUGACUAAAUUCCUAUGGUGGGUCCGCCCAAUCACAGUGACUUCUGUUUUGAAUUCCUUCUCGCCUUCCUGUACCACCUUAUCUAACUUCUUGACUGCCACAAAUCUCCCAGCAUCUGAUGCCAAAACCCCUUUAUAAACUGUUCCAAAAGCUCCCCUGCCCAAUUUCUCCUUGAAUCCACCGGUUGCCUCUUCAAGCUCUUUGUAUGAAUAAGUUCUCACACUGGUGGUCGGGAAUUUGCUUGAAACGGACUGGAUAUUCAUCAGUUUCUUGUUGUAGAAGAAGAGAGCAGCCGCAGGGAUUGCUAACAACAGAAAGAGAUUAAAGAACACAGAGCUGCCAAGGAGUACUGACCCAACAAGGAUCAAGGUAGACUUGUCUGGGCAUCUCUCUAUAGUAUCAUUUUUAAUCCGUACCUUGAUGAGAGCAGUUGAGUACUCGAAGACAUUUUGUGUAGGUUCGUGUCUUCCAUUUGAGAGAGGAAACUUCUUCUUCCAACACUGAUUGUUAGUGUUAUAGAUAGCAACCACACAGAGGCAAUCAUCUUUGCAAGACUGUUUACACUUCUCCUUGUUGAAUUCAGGUCCCUUCUGAAGCUGAUAAUCAGAUAAUGGCCAGUUGACACCUUUUAAUUCACUGAAAUCUACUGCAUCCUUGUUUGCUUUCCAUCCAUCAACAGCUGUUUGGCAGCUGGGCAAUUCAAAAUUCGGUUUACAGCCUUGUUUUCUGUCAAGAGGAUCCAAAUGAGAGUACCCAUCUGGGCAUAGACAAUCAGGCAUCCCCCUUCCAUCAAUGGAACAAUAGCUGUUGAACCCACAAAUUCCACUGCCAAGAUUACUUGGGGUCACGGUACAAAUGUUAUCGGGAAUGUUUUUCACAACAGACCAAGAAGUACUGCUGUUGUCACGAUUAUAUAGCCUGAAAACUCCGUCCUGGUCAAGCGUUGCCCGGUAAUAGUAAUCUCCCGUCAAGCUACUUCCGGAGGCGAUGUUAACAGUACCUCCAUUCCUUAGAAGAACAUAGAUGCUACCUGACUCAUCAAAAAUCACCCGUUGGCCAGAAUUGCUGCUAUUUGCAGUAUCAUUGGUGUUGCUUGAAUAAUAAACAUCAUAUGCUUUACCAGAUUCUGGGUCCAAGGUAUUAAGUACGAGAUUGCCUCCAGCUUCCAUUUGAAGCUGGAACCUCCCCUUUGAGUAGCUGCUGUUUGACUGCUGAGAAUACAUGGUGCCACCGAUUUCCAGUGUUUGAGUUGGCAAGAUGGUGUUGGCUGGAUUCUGGAAGCUCUGCCACACUGUAAGAUUUUGAUUCCUAUUUUCAAGAACGAAGUUACCAGUAUCAAGCAUGGCAGCAUGAGUGACCGCGGUAACAGAGUUCUGAGGUCUCCAUAUCUCUUUGCCUUGUGGAUCACUUAGUAUGAACUGGCCAUCAGAGGUAAGUUCAAGUUUGGAUCCUUUAGGAGCCGGGUUAUCUCCAUUUGCAUACCAAACUAAGGUUUUUUCUGGUAUUUUUUCGAACCAGAUAGCAAGCAAGAAGAGACUUUGACUGCCAAGGCGGUAAAACCCAAACGCAAAUUCACCAGAAGGUGAUACACAUCUAGGCGAGUCGUUGGAGGCGGUAAUGUCAAGAUCAGUGCAAUAUUGAGAAAAAACUAAAGAUGGAAGGACAAGAAGAAGCAAGAACCUGGCAGCCAUUGCAGAAGAGCCUUGGUACUACCCUUC
rnacentral:lncRNA from 1 species